AGUGAACGCUGGCGGUAGGCCUAACACAUGCAAGUCGAACGGCAGCACAGUAAGAGCUUGCUCUUACGGGUGGCGAGUGGCGGACGGGUGAGGAAUACAUCGGAAUCUACUUUUUCGUGGGGGAUAACGUAGGGAAACUUACGCUAAUACCGCAUACGACCUACGGGUGAAAGCAGGGGAUCUUCGGACCUUACGCGAUUGAAUGAGCCGAUGUCGGAUUAGCUAGUUGGCGGGGUAAAGGCCCACCAAGGCGACGAUCCGUAGCUGGUCUGAGGGGAUGAUCAGCCACACUGGAACUGAGACACGGUCCAGACUCCUACGGGAGGCAGCAGUGGGGAAUAUUGGACAAUGGGCGCAAGCCUGAUCCAGCCAUACCGCGUGGGUGAAGAAGGCCUUCGGGUUGUAAAGCCCUUUUGUUGGGAAAGAAAAGCAGCAGGUUAAUACCCCGCUGUUCUGACGGUACCCAAAGAAUAAGCACCGGCUAACUUCGUG
rnacentral:rRNA from 1 species